rnacentral:rRNA from 1 species
UACGUAGGGGGCAAGCGUUGUCCGGAUUUAUUGGGCGUAAAGAGCGUGUAGGCGGCUUGGCAAGUCCGUUGUGAAAACUCGAGGCUCAACCUCGAGAUGUCGAUGGAAACCGUCUGGCUAGAGUCCGGAAGAGGAGUGUGGAAUUCCUGGUGUAGCGGUGAAAUGCGCAGAUAUCAGGAAGAACACCUAUGGCGAAGGCAGCACUCUGGGACGGUACUGACGCUGAGACGCGAAAGCGUGGGGAGCGAACAGG